AUAAAUUCUUUUUUCAAAAAAAUCUAAAAAAAUCUGUUCUUAUCAGUUUAAUAUCUGAUACGUCCCCAAUCGGGGGACUACAUAUUAAAUGGAUUUUUCGAACAGGGAGUCUGAAAUGGGGCAUGCUCCGUCCGCUCCACGCAUCGACCCGGUAUUGCAGUACCUCCGGGAACGGUGCAACACUU
ensembl:snRNA U2 U2 spliceosomal RNA